rnacentral:rRNA from 1 species
GAUGAACGCUGGCGGCGGGCCUAAUACAUGCAAGUCGAGCGAACAGACGAUGAGCGUUCGCCUCUGCGGGUAGCGACUGACGGGUGAGUGACACAUGCAUAACCUACUUAUAUUACGUGGAUAACUUCGUGAAACCGGUUCUACUACUGCAUAAUAUAUUCAACGGGAUGGUGCAAUAGUUAAUCACGGUUUUGCUGUUACUUUUAGAUGGAUCCGCGCCGCAUUAGCUAGUUGGUAAGGUAACGGCUUACCAAGGCUACGAUGCGUAGCCGACCUGAGAGGAUGAUCAGCCACACUGGAACUGAGACACGGUCCAGACUCCUACGGGAGGCAGCAGUAGGGAAUAUUCCGCAAUGGGCGAAAGCCUGAUGGAGCAACGCCGCGUGAGUGAUGAAGGUCUUCGGAUCGUAAAACUCUGUUAUUAGGGAAGAACAAAAGUGUAAGUAACUAUGGCCGUUUUGACGGUACCUAAUCAGAAAGCCACGGCUAACUACGUG